rnacentral:rRNA from 1 species
UGAAUACGAGAUGCUACGGCGUCGAAGCAGUCUAUGUCAUACUUCCAAGAAAAGCUUGCACUGUCAUAAACAAAUAAUGCCUGUACCAUAACCGACACAGGUGGGUAGGUAGAGUAUACUAAGGGGCGCGAGAUAACUCUCUCUAAGGAACUCGGCAAAAUGACUCCGUAACUUCGGGAGAAGGAGUGCCUUAUUUAUAAGGUUGCAAUAACAAGAUCCAAGCAACUGUUUACCAAAAACACAGGUCUCCGCUAAGUCGUAAGACGAUGUAUGGGGGCUGACGCCUGCCCUGUGCCAGAAGGUUAAAGAAGUUGGUUAGCAUCCGCGAAGCUGAUAACUGAAGCCCUGGUGAACGGCGGCCGUAACGAUAACGGUCCUAAGGUAGCGAAAUUCCUUGUCGGGUAAGUUCCGACCCGCACGAAAGGCGUAAUGAUUUGGAUACUGUCUCGGAGAGGGGCUCGGUGAAAUAGACUUGUCUGUGAAGAUGCGGACUACCUGCACCAGGACAGAAAGACCCUAUGAAGCUUUACUGUAACCUGAAAUUGAAAUUGGACUUUACUUGCGCAGUAUAGGUGGGAGGCGUUGAGAAUAUUCUUGCGGGAUUAUUGGAGCCAUCAGUGAGAUACCACUCUUGUAAUGUUAGAUUUCUAACUUUGUAUCAUUAUCUGGUCAAAGAACAGUUUCAGGCGGGCAGUUUGACUGGGGCGGUCGCCUCCUAAACGGUAACGGAGGCGCACAAAGGUUUCCUCUGAACGGGUAGAAAUCGUAUCUAGAGUGUAAAGGCAUAAGGAAGCUUGACUGUGAGACCUACAAGUCGAGCAGGGACGAAAGUCGGUCUUAGUGAUCUGACGGUGCUGAGUGGAAAGGCCGUCACUCAACGGAUAAAAGUUACUCUAGGAUAACAGGCUGAUCUCCCCCAAGAGUUCACAUCGACGGGGAGGUUUGGCACCUCGAUGUCGGCUCAUCGCAUCCUGGGGCGGUAGUACGUCCCAAGGGUUGGGCUGUUCGCCCAUGAAAGCGGUACGCGAGCUGGGUUCAGAACGUCGUGAGACAGUUCGGUCCAUAUCCGGUGUAGGCGUUAGAAUAUUGAGAGGAGCCUUCUUUAGUACGAGAGGACCGAGAAGGACAUACCUCUGGUGUACCAGUUAUCGUGCCAACGGUAAACGCUGGGUAGCUAUGUGUGGAGUGGAUAACCGCUGAAAGCAUCUAAGUGGGAAGCCCACCUCAAGAUAAG